rnacentral:rRNA from 1 species
GACGAACGCUGGCGGCGUGCUUAACACAUGCAAGUCGAACGGAAAGGCCCUGCUUUUGUGGGGUGCUCGAGUGGCGAACGGGUGAGUAACACGUGAGUAACCUGCCCCUGACUUUGGGAUAACUUCAGGAAACUGGGGCUGAUACCGGAUAGGAGCUCCUGCUGCAUGGUGGGGGUUGGAAAGUUUCGGCGGUUGGGGAUGGACUCGCGGCUUAUCAGCUUGUUGGUGGGGUAGUGGCUUACCAAGGCUUUGACGGGUAGCCGGCCUGAGAGGGUGACCGGCCACAUUGGGACUGAGAUACGGCCCAGACUCCUACGGGAGGCAGCAGUGGGGAAUAUUGCACAAUGGGCGGAAGCCUGAUGCAGCAACGCCGCGUGCGGGAUGACGGCCUUCGGGUUGUAAACCGCUUUCGCCUGUGACGAAGCGUGAGUGACGGUAAUGGGUAAAGAAGCACCGGCUAACUACGUG